rnacentral:rRNA from 1 species
GAUGAACGCUGGCGGCGUGCCUAAUACAUGCAAGUCGAGCGAACAGACGAGGAGCUUGCUCCUCUGACGUUAGCGGCGGACGGGUGAGUAACACGUGGAUAACCUACCUAUAAGACUGGGAUAACUCCGGGAAACCGGAGCUAAUACCGGAUAAUAUAUUGAACCGCAUGGUUCAAUAGUGAAAGACGGUUUUGCUGUCACUUAUAGAUGGAUCCGCGCCGCAUUAGCUAGUUGGUAAGGUAACGGCUUACCAAGGCAACGAUGCGUAGCCGACCUGAGAGGGUGAUCGGCCACACUGGAACUGAGACACGGUCCAGACUCCUACGGGGGGCAGCAGUAGGGAAUCUUCCGCAAUGGGCGAAAGCCUGACGGAGCAACGCCGCGUGAGUGAUGAAGGUCUUCGGAUCGUAAAACUCUGUUAUUAGGGAAGAACAAAUGUGUAAGUAACUAUGCACGUCUUGACGGUACCUAAUCAGAAAGCCACGGCUAACUACGUG